rnacentral:tRNA from 1 species
GGGAAUAUGGCUUAGUGGUAGAGUGCUUGCCUAGCAUGCAUGAAGCCCUAGGUUCUAUCCUCAGUACCA